GACUCUCGGCAACGGAUAUCUCGGCUCUCGCAUCGAUGAAGAACGUAGCGAAAUGCGAUACUUGGUGUGAAUUGCAGAAUCCCGUGAACCAUCGAGUUUUUGAACGCAAGUUGCGCCCGAAGCCAUUAGGCCGAGGGCACGCCUGCCUGGGUGUCACGCAACGUCGCCACGAAUCCCCUCACCCCCCCGAAGGGGAACAGGGAGGGACGGCGGAUACUGGCCUCCCGUGCGCUCCCGCUCGCGGUUGGCCCAAAACACAGCCCCCUGGCGAUGGCGGCCACGGCACGCGGUGGUUGGCAGCACGAGCUCCUCGAGCACCGCCGUGCGCGAGCCUCGUCGAGGGGUGGCAAGAGACCCCGACGAAAGCGUCCUCACAGAGCGACCCCAGGUCAGGCGGGAACACCCGCUGAGUUUAAG
rnacentral:rRNA from 1 species